rnacentral:misc_RNA from 1 species
GAUGAAGAACGCAGCGAAAUGCGAUAAGUAAUGUGAAUUGCAGAAUCCAGUGAAUCAUCGAAUCUUUGAACGCACAUUGCGCCCGCCAGCAUUCUGGCGGGCAUGCCUGUUCGAGCGUCAUUUCAACCCUCGACCUCCCUUUGGGGAAGUCGGCGUUGGGGACCGGCAGCACACCGCCGGCCCUGAAAUGGAGUGGCGGCCCGUCCGCGGCGACCUCUGCGUAGUAAACCAACUCGCACCGGAACCCCGACGUGGCCACGCCGUAAAACACCCAACUUCUGAACGUUGACCUCGAAUCAGGUAGGACUACCCGCUGAACUUGAGCAUAUCAAUAAGCGGAGGA